rnacentral:rRNA from 1 species
UGAACGCUGGCGGCGUGCUUACCACAUGCAAGUCGACCGAUGAAGCCCAGCUUGCUGGGUGGAUUAGUGGCGAACGGGUGAGUAACACGUGAGUAACCUGCCCUUGACUCUGGGAUAAGCCUGGGAAACUGGGUCUAAUACUGGAUAUGACUUCUCAUCGCAUGGUGGGGGGUGGAAAGAUUUAUUGGUCUUGGAUGGACUCGCGGCCUAUCAGCUUGUUGGUGAGGUAAUGGCUCACCAAGGCGACGACGGGUAGCCGGCCUGAGAGGGUGACCGGCCACACUGGGACUGAGACACGGCCCAGACUCCUACGGGAGGCAGCAGUGGGGAAUAUUGCACAAUGGGCGCAAGCCUGAUGCAGCGACGCCGCGUGAGGGAUGACGGCCUUCGGGUUGUAAACCUCUUUCAGUAGGGAAGAAGCGAGAGUGACGGUACCUGCAGAAGAAGCGCCGGCUAACUACGUG